rnacentral:lncRNA from 1 species
AUGAUGUCCCUACCAGCUCUGACAUACCACGAUUCUUGUCUGUGUCUGUAGUGUUUUAAAGUUAGCUUAGGUACUUAAUAGCUAUUUCUCAAGUUCUUAAGCUCCAAGUAAGAGACAUAGUAUUAUCAUGAAGUGGAUAGAACAAAGAGAUAAAGGGUAAAUGCUGGUAAAGGAUAGAUAUAAUAGUAUGUAUCAUAUAACAAGUAACUAAAUUGGCCAUCACAGCUACUGAAAUCCAUUCAAUGUGUAAUAAUAGCUGAGCACUUGACUGUAUGAAGCUCAUGUAAGUCUACUAUUUUUUUUCCAAACACCAGCUCAAUUAAAAGAUUUGAAGGAUGCAGAAUAUCUAGGUGGGACAUAGAUCAUCACAGAAAAUAGGAGGGAUGUAGGUAAUACUGCAAUUAGGAAAAAACAGAUCUGACAGAAUUUCUCAAAUCCUUUUUCUUUCUUUCCUCCUAAACACUAAAAUGGAAGGAAGAUUGAGGAAGCUGUGUUUCUUUAAAGUCUGAAAUUUAAAAAAAUCCAAACUUGGAUUUCUUUUGAUUGGAGAAACAAUACACUGUAGAUAAUGCUGAGGUUCUCCCUGCAAGAAAACAGCAAUUGUGUGUUGUAUUUUAUUAUAAUAGGUUUCCCAGCUAAAUGUGCAAAUCUAAUAAUACUAUAAUACAGUGCUACAAUGGGCUUCAUGAAUUGGAAAUGGAUAGAAUUUAAAUAUUUUUGGCACCUGCCACACAGUGCUCCAAUAAUAAGAUCUAUAAUUUCCUGAAUAAAGCUUGUACAACUUUAGUGAAUUUAGCUCCAUAGAAGGGUGAAAGACUGUUUGCAGUGUUCAUGCUAAUUCAGUAUUUAAUAUAUUGACUUUCUUUCUUUCUUUCUUUCUUUCUUUCUUUCUUUCUUUCUUUCUUUCUUUCUUUCUUUCUUUCUUUCUUUCUUUCUUUCUUUCUUUCUUUCUUUCUUUCUUUCUUUCUUUCUUUCUUUCUUUCUUUCUUUCUUUCUUUCUUUCUUUCUUUCUUUCUCUCUCUCUCUCUCUCUCUCUCUCUCUCUCUCUCUCUUUCUUUCUUUCUUUCUUUCUUUCUUUCUUUCUUUCUUUCUUUCUUUCUUUCUUUCUUCUUUCUUUCUUUCUUUCUUUCUUUCUUUCCCUCUUUCUUUUCCUCUUUCUUUCUUUCUUUCCCUCUUUCUUUCCCUCUUUCCCUCUUUCUUUCCCUCUUUCUUUCCCUCUUUCCCUCUCUCUCUCUCUCUCUCUCUCUCUCUCUCUCUCUCUCUCUCUCUCUCUUUUUCCCUUUCUCCCUUUCUCUCUCCCUUCCUUCCUUCCUUCCUUCCUUCCUUCCUUCCUUCCUUCCUUCCUUCCUUCCUUCCUUCCUUCCUUCCUUCCUUCCUUCCUUCCUUCCUUCCUUCCUUCCUUCCUUCCUUCCUUCCUCCCUUCCUCCCUCCCUCCCUCCCUCCCUUCCUCCCUCCCUCCCUCCCUUCCUUCUUCUUUCUUUUGCCAUUUAAAAGCAUUUAAAACAGGAAGACAAUUUUAUUUAUUUAUUUAUUUGGGAGAGAAUUCUGAAUAUGUAAUCGGAUAUAUAGGACCUGAGAAUGAUGAAUCAUCCUGGUCUUAUUUAAGUCUAUAUCAAAAGCACUGA